rnacentral:lncRNA from 1 species
UGAUUGUUAUGCUUUUCCUCCCCCAGCACCCAGAGAUCCUCUCUGCACCACACCACCUUGUCUGCUGGGAAGUGGGGGAGGAGUGGCCUCAGUGAUUCAAGACUCUCCUUUCUACCUCUUGAGAGUGUCUUUCAGCAAUACGAAGUUGAAACCAGGGUCUCCCUCUGUAACCCAGCGUGGAGUGCAGUGGCACAAACAUGGCUCUCUGCAGCCUUGACCUCCUAGGCUCAAGCAAUCCUCCUGCCUCAGCCUUCUGAGUAGUUGGGAUCACAAGAGUGCACCACUGCAUCUAGCUAAUUAUGUUAUUUUACUUUUUAAAGAGACAGGGUCUCACUUUGUUUGCCAGGCUGGUCUCAAACUGCUGGGCUCAAGCGAUUCUCCUGCCUCAGUCUCCCAAAGUGGUGAGAUUAUAGGUGUGAACCACCGCUC